GCAUAUCAAUAAGCGGAGGAAAAGAAACCAACAGGGAUUGCCCCAGUAACGGCGAAGUGAAGCGGCAACAGCUCAAAUUUGAAAUCUGGCCCCCAGGGUCCGAGUUGUAAUUUGUAGAGGAUGCUUUUGGCGCGGUGCCUUCCGAGUUCCCUGGAACGGGACGCCAUAGAGGGUGAGAGCCCCGUCUGGUUGGACACCUAGCCUCUGUAAAGCUCCUUCGACGAGUCGAGUAGUUUGGGAAUGCUGCUCUAAAUGGGAGGUAUAUGUCUUCUAAAGCUAAAUACCGGCCAGAGACCGAUAGCGCACAAGUAGAGUGAUCGAAAGAUGAAAAGCACUUUGAAAAGAGGGUUAAAUAGUACGUGAAAUUGUUGAAAGGGAAGCGUUUGUGACCAGACUUGGGCUCGGUUAAUCAUCCAGCGUUCUCGCUGGUGCACUUUGCCGGCCCAGGCCAGCAUCAGUUCGCGCCGGGGGACAAAGGCUUCGGGAACGUGGCUCCCUCGGGAGUGUUAUAGCCCGCUGCGUAAUACCCUGGUGCGGACUGAGGUUCGCGCUCCGCAAGGAUGCUGGCGUAAUGGUCAUCAGCGACCCGUCUUGAAACACGGACCAAGGAGUCGUCUUCGUAUGCGAGUGUUCGGGUGUCAAACCCCUACGCGUAAUGAAAGUGAACGCAGGUGAGAGCUUCGGCGCAUCAUCGACCGAUCCUGAUGUUCUCGGAUGGAUUUGAGUAAGAGCAUACGGGGCCGGACCCGAAAGAAGGUGAACUAUGCCUGUAUAGGGUGAAGCCAGAGGAAACUCUGGUGGAGGCUCGCAGCGGUUCUGACGUGCAAAUCGAUCGUCAAAUAUGGGCAUGGGGGGCGAAAGACUAAUCGAACCUUCUAGUAGCUGGGUUUCCGCCG
rnacentral:rRNA from 1 species